rnacentral:rRNA from 1 species
CCUACGGGAGGCAGCAGUGAGGAAUAUUGGUCAAUGGACGAGAGUCUGAACCAGCCAAGUAGCGUGAAGGAUGACUGCCCUAUGGGUUGUAAACUUCUUUUAUAUGGGAAUAAAAUGUUCCACGUGUGGGAUUUUGUAUGUACCAUAUGAAUAAGGAUCGGCUAACUCCGUGCCAGCAGCCGCGGUAAUACGGAGGAUCCGAGCGUUAUCCGGAUUUAUUGGGAUUAAAGGGAGCGUAGGUGGAUUGUUAAGUCAGUUGUGAAAGUUUGCGGCUCAACCGUAAAAUUGCAGUUGAAGCUGGCAGUCUUGAGUACAGUAGAGGUGAGCGGAAUUCGUGGUGUAGCGGUGAAAUGCUUAGAUAUCACGAAGAACUCCGAUUGCGAAGGCAGUUCACUGGACUGCAACUGACACUGAGGCUCGAAAGUGUGGGUAUCAAACAGGAUUAGAUACCCCUGUAGUC